GACGAACGCUGGCGGCGUGCUUAACACAUGCAAGUCGAGCGGUAAGGCCCUUUCGGGGUACGACGAGCGGCGAACGGGUGGAGUAACACGUGGGUGGACCUGCCCUCCAGCUCUGGGAGUAAGCCUGGGAAACGUGGGUCGUAAUACUGGAUAUGACUCCACGGUGCAUGUCGUGGGGUGGAAAGCCUUGUGCGGCUGAGGAUGGGCCCGCGGCCUAUCAGCUUGUUGGUGGGGUGANGGUCCUACCAAGGCGACGACGGGUAGCCGGCCUGAGAGGGCGACCGGCCACACUGGGACUGAGACA
rnacentral:rRNA from 1 species